rnacentral:misc_RNA from 1 species
GAUGAAGAACGUAGCGAAAUGCGAUACUUGGUGUGAAUUGCAGAAUCCCGUGAACCAUCGAGUCUUUGAACGCAAGUUGCGCCCGAAGCCGUCAGGCCGAGGGCACGCCUGCCUGGGCGUCACACGCCGUUGCCCCCCCCGCGCCCCGCACCCAACUCUUUGGGAGCGACCGCGGGGCGGGCUGAUGAUGGCCUCCCGUGCGCUCCGCCGCGCGGUUGGCCCAAAUACCGAGUCCCCGGCGCCGUGCGCCACGACGAUCGGUGGUUGAGAGACCUCUGUCGCAAGUCGUGCGCGCCCGUCGCGUCACGCGGGCUCGCAUAGCGCCUCGCGCCGCACCCGGUGCGGAGCUUUCAACGCGACCCCAGGUCAGGCGGGGUUACCCGCUGAGUUUAAGCAUAUCAAUAAGCGGAGGA